AUAGAGUGGGUGUUUUAUCCCUUUUUAUUUCCAUGAACUCUGUAACAGACAUCUAUGAUUUUGUUCAAAGUUAGGGUGGAGACUGUGUCGGGUAUCAAAAGUUCAAAUAGGCCUUGACCCUGGGUUGCCUUAAAUGGGAUCUUCUCAAAUCUCUGUUAUGCGUUGGUUUAGGUUGUAGGAACUUUCCAAGGACCAUGUGGUUUAAUCAACAUUUUG
rnacentral:misc_RNA from 1 species